GAUCAUGCUCAGGAUGAACGCUAGCUACAGGCUUAACACAUGCAAGUCGAGGGGCAGCAUGGUCCUAGCUUGCUAAGGCCGAUGGCGACCGGCGCACGGGUGAGUAACACGUAUCCAACCUGCCGUCUACUCUUGGACAGCCUUCUGAAAGGAAGAUUAAUACAAGAUGGCAUCAUGAGUCCACAUGUUCACAUGAUUAAAGGUAUUCCGGUAGACGAUGGGGA
rnacentral:rRNA from 1 species